UACGUAGGGUGCAAGCGUUAAUCGGAAUUACUGGGCGUAAAGCGUGCGCGGGCGGUUUUGUAAGUCAGAUGUGAAAUCCCCGGGCUUAACCUGGGAACUGCGUUUGAAACUACAAGGCUAGAGUGUGGCAGAGGGGGGUGGAAUUCCACGUGUAGCAGUGAAAUGCGUAGAGAUGUGGAGGAACACCGAUGGCGAAGGCAGCCCCCUGGGUUAACACUGACGCUCAGGCACGAAAGCGUGGGGAGCAAACAGG
rnacentral:rRNA from 1 species